AGCGAACGCUGGCGGCAGGCUUAACACAUGCAAGUCGAGCGGGCAUCCUUGUGGUGUCAGCGGCAGACGGGUGAGUCACGCGUGGGAACGUGCCCUGCGGUUCGGAAUAACUCAGGGAAACUUGAGCUAAUACCGGAUACGUGCGAGAGCAGAAAGGUUUAUCUGCCGAAGGAUCGGCCCGCGUCUGAUUAGCCAGUUGGUGAGGUUACGGCUCACCAAGGCGACGAUCCGUAGCUGGUCUGCGAGGAUGAUCAGCCACACUGGGACUGAGACACGGCCCAGACUCCUACGGGAGGCAGCAGUGGGGAAUAUUGGACAAUGGGGGCAACCCUGAUCCAGCCAUGCUGGGUGAGUGAUGACGGCCUUAGGGUUGUAAAGCUCUUUUCUCCGGGACGAUAAUGACGGUACCGGAGGAAUAAGCCCCGGCUAACUUCGUG
rnacentral:rRNA from 1 species